rnacentral:rRNA from 1 species
UACAGAGGUCCCAAGCGUUGUUCGGAUUCACUGGGCGUAAAGGGUGCGUAGGCGGCCGGGUAAGUCUGAUGUGAAAUCCCGCAGCUUAACUGCGGAACUGCAUCGGAUACUCUCCGGCUAGAGGAAUGGAGGGGAGACUGGAAUUCUCGGUGUAGCAGUGAAAUGCGUAGAUAUCGAGAGGAACACCGGUGGCGAAGGCGGCCAACUGGACAGAUACUGACGCUGAGACACGAAAGCGUGGGGAGCAAACAGG